GACGAACGCUGGCGGCGUGCCUAAUACAUGCAAGUCGAACGCAGUUGCGAACGGGUGAGUAACGCGUAGGUAACUGCCUGGUAGCGGGGGAUAACUAUUGGAAACGAUAGCUAAUACCGCAUACUACCAGAUGGACCUGCGUUGUAUUAGCUAGUUGGUGAGGUAACGGCUCACCAAGGCAACGAUACAUAGCCGACCUGGGAGGGGGAGUGGCCAAACUGGGACUGGGACACGGCCCCGGCUCCUACGGGAAGGAACAGUAGGGAAUCUUCGGAAAUGGGGGGAACCCUGACCGAGCAACGGCGCGGGAGUGAAAAAGGUUUUCGGAUCGUAAAGCUCUGUUGUUAAGGAAGCGGUACUUAACCAGAAAGGAACGGCUAACUACGUGCCAGCAGCCGCGGUAAUAC
rnacentral:rRNA from 1 species